GGAUUGUAGCUCAGUGGUAGAGCGCUUGUCUUGCAUACGUGAGGCACUGGGUUUGAUCCUCAGCACCA
rnacentral:tRNA from 1 species